rnacentral:rRNA from 1 species
GCCUACGGGAGGCAGCAGUAGGGAAUCUUCCACAAUGGGCGAAAGCGUGAUGGAGCAACGCCGCGUGAGUGAAGAAGGAUUUCGGUUAGUAAAACUUUGUUGUAAGGGAAGAACAAGUACAGUAGUAACAUGUGCUGUACCUGACGGUACACUAUAUAGCCAGAUCGC